UUUUCACACUUAGGUAGAGCUCGGCAAGGCUUUAAAUGUACGUGGCGAAAAAAGGAACUAACGCUGUCAUCAUACAAAAACGCCAAUUUUUGGCAGUUCUCCUUUACCAGCAGCGC